AGGGAAGGCUACGUAAAUGUUCAUUACCCGCCAUUGCACUCUUCUCCGGUGGAUGUGCUUCCGACGACCGUCGCCGAGGGCAGCAGGGCGGCAGCGGGAGAGGGGACGAGCGGGUCGGGCUCCUCCUGCGUGAUAUGCGCCGAUGCCCCAGUGGAGGCGGCGUGCGUCCCGUGCGGCCACAUGGCGGGAUGCAUGACCUGUCUGAACGAGGUCAAGAUGAAGGAAAUCGGCUGUCCUGUUUGCCGCGCCGACAUCGAACGCAUCAUGAAGAUCUACACUGUUUGAGUAAGCUGUGGAAGAUGCCGGCUGGGAAGUCAACGGCAUACGUACAUGAAGUAAUCAGUCAGUCCAGCUCGUUAAUGAGGUGCAGGAGCUGACGUUUAUAGUUAUUUUUUGUGUAAAUUCCUUCUUCUGUUCUUCACGCUACAUUGUCAUAUGGAAUGGAAUUUCGAUAGGAAUACAUUUAUAUCACAUUUCCGUCUGGAUACAUUGAUAUUUUCCAAAUUAUUACGUUAUGGAGACAGCCUGUUAUUAUAUUUACUACAAUAGUGUGUAACAAAUAAUUUAUAAUAAUCAAGUAAGUGGUGUUGAUAAAUAGGAUAAACUGUCUUAAUUAGAUCAAGCCGUCUUUACAACAGUGAGACCAUUUAAAAAAAAAAUCCUUGUUCUAGUAAAAAGUUAUCAUUUAGUAAAUUUUUUGGGCCCAAGUGUUUGAAGGCAUAGUUGAGAUUGAUGUUAUCAUUAUAUCUUAUUGCAUGUUUUUCAAGUAUAACUUCCUUGAAAGCGCUUAAGUUUGAAAUGUGUCUUUAUUCAUUUGUAUCAAAGAAAUUAUCCACCUCCGAGGGCAUAGUUCAAUUGCAAGAUUUUUAUUUUUCUCAAUAAUACUUUAAACUAUCAUGUUUAUGCUUAGGACAAUGUGUGCAAUUUUUUAUAAAAGAUAUCUUCACCCCUUCAGCUGUAAAAGAAACUUUAUUAUCUACCAUACAUGUAAAGUGAAGGCCUUGGUAAGUUUAAGAUGUUUUGAUGAUGGCUAUAUACAUGGAUGGGUAUUUUAACAAUUUCAUAUAUACUAGAACAAUUUAAUUGAUGAUCUUAAUUGCUGAAAAUUCAAGAGUAUUUACCUAUAAGUGUAACUUAAGAAAUAAAAGUUAUUACUUCAAUAUAAACUUAAUAAGUUAAUAUCGAUGUCAUAAUCAUUCUAUUUAUUGCAUAAAAAAUUAAAUAUUUUCUUAGCAUUAUGUUGAGUUCAGGUCAAUCAUGAGGGAUGAAGAGAAUUAAUUUUGAUGGACGCUAAUUUUCCAACAAAUAUUUCUAUCUAAAGCAAAGGAACAAAAAGAAUAUGAGAUGAGAUCUCCUUUCUAUAUUUAUCAUCAUUCUUUAUAAAUGAAUUUCAUGAUUUUAGUUUUUUAAUUUUUUCAAACUAAAUAAAAGAAGGUUUCGAGAUGGAUAUGAUUUUAUCAUAAAUUAGAUGAGAAAAUAAGAUGAAAAAGAUGAGAAUGAUGAUUUGUCAGCGAAGCUCCAUCAUUUUUUUUACGUCUGUGAUAAUUGAUAAUCUUGAUCUUACUAGAUGAUAAUCAAUAAUUGUGAAUAUGCAAUGCUAAAAAUUAAGUGUUGCAUUCUUUGUCGUCUUAUCGAUCUAUUCCAUACCAUUAGAUCAAUCAUUUAUGUUGAUGGUACGUGGUGCUCUAGAUGUCAUUAGAUUGCAACAUUGUGAGUUGUCAAAUCUAGUUUUACACCUAAGGGAUAUGUGGCAUGUUCUAAAAAAAUUGAAAUAAUGUGAGCAUGUUAUAAAUAUCAAAUUGACGUUGAGCGACCACUCUAAUAUGAUGACAUUGUGCAUUUAGGGGCAUUAGAUCAAAUGAUGCUAAAAUAUAGAAAUCAGAUGGCAACAUAUUAAAAUUUUUUAUCUAAUUAUUUAUUUAGUUUUAAAAUAAUAAUUAACAUAUUUUAAUUUGAAAUAAAUCAUAAUAAUUAAGUAAAACUUAUUAAAAAUAUAAAAACACUUUCAAAAACUUUCUUUAAAAAUCAUAAAUUUUUCUAUAAAAUUCAUAUAACAUUUUACUACUUUAACUCACAUUACAUAUAAGAAAUGAGAUAUUAUUAUGUUCAUUAUGGCCUAGAAAGUGGCCAAGGUGUUCAUUAAUCUGAAUGACAUUAAGAGAAAUUUUGCAUUGUCCUUGCAUCCAAAAGGUUGUUUCUAAAUGUCCUCUUUGUUGAUCUUGAUUUGAAGAUAUCCAAAUUUGAAAUUUAGUUGGGAGAAAAUAUGUGCUUCAUGUAAUUUGUCAAAUAACUUUUUUGCAAUCAAAAUGGGGUACAAAUCGUGUAUUGUUGCCUUGUUGAGAGUAUGGUAAUCCAUGAAAAAAAUAUUAUGAUCCAUCCUUUUUCCAUACAAGGAAUCUUGGGCUUAAAUAGUGGCUCAUAGAGUAUUCGAUGAUUCUUGUAUUUAACAUCUCCCUAACCAUGUUUUCCAAUUUAGAUUUAUAAAAAUAGGGUUACCCAAGGCCACAGAUUAUUAGGCACCAUCCCUAGUUCCAAGUUGAUUUUAUGAUUUAUUUCUUGUUUUGGGGUAAUCUAAUGAUUUCUUUUAAUACUUUAGGAAAAGCCUAAUGAAGUUUCUCGUCAAAUGAUGAUGACGACUUAUGGUUUUGCCAAAGCCAUCAACUAGAUGAGCUAGUAGCAUAGGUCAUUAGCUUAGAUUUUUCUAAAGAGAGCCUUCAAAGAGAUCACUACUUGAUCAUCAGGUCUUUUAAUUUAGAGGACCAUCUUCUCUUGCCCAGAUUUGAAGGCUAAUAUCUAAUUGGUAAGAGAUCACUCAUGGUUUUCAAGCCCUUCAUUUUGAGGACGAUGUCAAUAGUGGCAAUUGGGAAGACCAACAAGUUUUUGCAUGUGUAUUGCUUGUGAUCUAUGAAAACCUUGGGACACAAUUGUGUGCCAUCCACCUUCUCUUAUUUCUCCUCAAAAUUUCAGAGCUUCAUGAUCCUCUAUUAAUGAUUGUAGGAUACCUUUGAAAUUGUAAAAAGUCCUUAUAGAUGAUUGUAAUUUAGAAAAUGUAGCUUUAAUAUCCUAAUAAUCUGAAUAUGUUGGUGCAAAAAUGGAUAUGAAGUUUCUUCUUACAAUUGUGACUCGGUGAUAACUUAUCAUCGCAAUAAAAGCAUAAGCCUUUUUUGUGCCUUUCUUGUAUUUGUGUAGAUGUGAGAAUCAAUUUCUUCUUUUAUUUUCUUUUAGUUAGCUCCUCUACUAUGCAAACCUCAAUAACUAAAUCAGAAGUCUUGAUCUUUUGAAGUCAUGGAUGAUGCCUAACUCCUCUAUUGGUUGUAAGGUAUGGGUCAAUAGCUUUUCUUGAAAAUGAUGUGAAGUUUGAAUUCUACUAUGUGUUGAUUUUAUUAUCUCUUCUAAUCCAAGAGGGUUUAACAUAAUAACUUUAACGUAGAUUCCUUCUUUUAACCCAUUUAAGAAAGUCUCUUAUAAUAUAGGUUCUAUAAUAUGACAAACAAUGUUGAUAAGAGUCUCAAAGUCUGCCUAAAAUUUCAUCACUGUGCUUGUUUGUUUGAAGCUAAUGAAUGUCGCAUAUAUUGAUUUUGAUUGGUUUGGGUUGUAUCUCUUUAGUAGCUGAUUUCAGAGGUCUUCCCAAUUCUUAAAGCGAUGAUGAUCCAUUACCCAUUGGAACCAAUAAAGGGCCAAAUCAUCUAUGCUAAGUUCAAUGAUCAAUAGCUUGUUUUGUUUUGGUACCCUAUUGAUGGAGAAGUUGUGCUCACUCAAAAGAUCCAACUCUUCGAUCUUUGCCCACUAAAAUAGUGGUAGUUCAAUCUACCUCUCUUGUUAUGCAUUUAUUUGAUUUGGGAUGUCAUUCCUUCUUGGUUGUUCUAUGGGGGUCCCCUAUUGGGUAUACCUCUUCUAGUGUUAUUUUUUCCUUUCUUCAACCUUCGAGGAAAAUUAUUGCUUUGUGGCUUGAUUCAUCUCUAUCCUUUUCUUCCAUCUUUUUCUUCAUAGGUUGUUCCUGACCAUACUAGUCGAGGGCCCUUUGAGUUGUUUCAAGGGUAUUGAUGAGGUUCCAAGUUGUUACUUGAGCUCACUCUAUUCUUAUACUAUUCUCUUCAAUUUUUUUUUACUUCUAUUUAUUUAUGAAUUCAUGUUGAUCAGAACCAUUCUUGGUCUACUUAGUUCAUUGCAGCUUGAAAUUUUACUUCUUGAAAACUUUAAACUCCUUUAAGUGUUCUAACUUAUCAUCUUAAGACUUGGGACACAAGGUGGUAGAAUCAAGGUUCUAAUAUCAAAUGAUAUGUUCUUAUGCUCCUUAGUUAUCUAAAUUGUUGACAUUAUUGGAGCUAUAAAAGCAUUAUAUUUUGAUGAUGACAAAUCACUUAAGGUUAAUUAACAUAAUCACAACAAAUUAUGUUUUAAUAAUAUUCAUACAUAGUUGAAUGUUAAAUGUAUCAUAAAAAUAUAUUAAAUAUGAACUAUGAUAUAAAAUAUGUUAUUUUACAUAUGAAAUAUGAAUGUUAUGAUACUAAGUAUCUAAUUGGUAAGUUAAUCAAUGAAUAAACAACUCGUGAUAUGAAUGUGUCUAAAUCGUAAAAUCAUGAGAAAUAUGUUAUAUUAAAUGUUACUAUGCGAAAUAUUAUUAUCUUCAGAAAUCAUGACAGUCGAAAGAGUAAUAAUUUCACCAAGUAAAUCAAUGAAUUUAGGUAAAGUAAAAUAUGAGUAUGAUAACUCAUUCAAAUAUCUAUAGACCCAUAAUUUUACUUUAGAACUUUUUGAUAAUUUAAAUAUCGAUUCAAUUGAAUUAUCAAUUGAGUGUCGAAUUAACCAAAAAGUAUUUUCUAAAUAUUUAUUAAAUAAAUGUUAAAAAUCAUAUAAAUCAAUCUCAACAAACAAGUUAUGAUUUAAAGCAUUAAAAUUGAAGUUCAUGAUGUAUACUUACAUCUCAUAUCAUAGUUCAUUGAAUUCAAAUUUUAUGUAUAUGAGAAAUCAUUACUUCCGUAAGAGGUCUUAUUAGGUUCACAAUAGAGUUUAUCGAAUUUCUAUCAAAGUUUAUGUGAACCAACUAUUAUUGGAUAUAAACAUUAAGUCCUAAAAGAUUUACGUGUUAGUUUUUUUAGAGGAUAUUUGAAAUACCUAAAUGACAUUGUAUUAAAUUCACAUAAAAUUUGAAUUUAAUUAUAAUUUAUGUGAAUUUAGUCAUGGGAGAUCUAAAAAGAUAUGUGAAAAAUUUUCACCUAAUUUAUUUAUAAAUAUUAUUAACAUCUAUGAGAAGAAUUAAUCCUCAACGACUAUAUUUAUUUGUUUACAUAUUCUUCCUAUGUUCUAGUACAUUCAAGAAGAGGAAAGAGAAGAUUCAUUAGCUAGUUGUGUAUUGAUUAAAGAAGGAUCAUUAUUAAGGAAAGCAUUCUAGAUAUUUUUCUACCCUCAAGUAGCACUUAACAACAAGCCUUCAAACAUGUGUACUAGUUGAGAACAACAAUAAGAAAAUAAAAAAUUUAUUUUUAAAGCAUUAGUCUUAUUUUACUAUAAUUGUCUAGAACAUUCAUAGAUUAUCUUCUGGACAUAUUUAUGGUGAUCAAAUAUUAUAUAUGUAGGUUAUUGUUAGUGAUUAUUUAUCUAAUCACUUUGAGAAGCUGUCUUGUGAAAAUAAUAGUGUAAGCCUUCUAAAGUUAUGAAUUUAGAAGAAAAUUUUUAGGUGAAAUUUUGAGAGAAUUGAGCUUGUGAAAUUAGUUGGUGUGAUUUGUAUGAUCUGAUAGUAGAACCCAAGGGUAGAUAGUGUCCUUGGAGAGUGGAUGUAAGCUGGUGUUGAAUCAAUAUAAAUUAAAGUGUGAGGAUAAUCUCAAUAUAAGGAGCAGAAGUUCAAGAAGAGAAAUACUUCAACAAGAGAAAAAAGAGAUCCAUUUAACUUGCCCUUUUUGAUCCUCAUUGGCCUAAAACCUAAUAGACAUAAUAAUUGAAAAACUAAAAUUUAACUAUUUAUUGAAUGUCGAUGAACAAGUGGACUCAUCGAGUUUGCUCAUAGUGAGGCCACAAUAGUCAUACUAGGAAAUUUCAAAGCAAUGAAAUGACAAGGGUCAAAGAUAACUUGAGAGUCCUAAGAGCAACCAUCUCACUCAGUAAUAGGGAAGAAGGAAAAGAGAGAGAUAGAGAGCAUGGGGUCCAUAAGGAGAAGAAGGGAAUGAGGUUGGCCAAUUUAGAGAUGGCUAAUUUCCCCUAGAAUGCUCAUGUCUUGGUUCUUCUUCGACUUCUACUUUCUUCCUUCCCCCUUGGCUAUUUUCUUGAUAUUUAAUGACUUAUGAUGGUUGCUUUUUAGUCUCUUGUUCCUUUCAACAUCCUCCCUUGGUGGUUAUGGUCGACAUCAGUGGUCUGCGGUAAACACCAUCCUUUGGUGCUGGCUGGUGUUGUGCCUCCUGACAUCCAUGACUGCCCGUCUCCUAGUUCUUUUAGCAUAUCACUUUGUGCUUGUCUAAAUGAGCUCUGCCAAUAACUGGAGUUGGCAAAGAUCCCUCAUUUUGACCCUUGAUUGAGUCUUGCAUGACAGCUUCUAAGUGGUGAGGGCCUCAACAUCCUCUGACCAACCCUACUAGGGCAAUGGAGCCUUACAACCGACUCCUAGAGGCAUGCACAUAUAACAAGAUUCACAAUUCUUGGAUCAAAAAAUAACUGUCCAUUCAAGGGUGAAGGUCCAUGCGUUUUAUAGGCACAACAAAGAAAAAGAUAAGGCCCAAUAAAGAGGGAGCCCAACAUAAAGGCCCACUAGUAGUAAAUGAAGCCUUCUGACUUUGGACAGGUUCGUUAGUGUCGAGAUUGGCAGUAGGCUUCUGGGCCUAUGUCCUCAUGUUGGCCCACAUCUUGUUCACCUGUUGGGUCCACCACAUAUGGGCCGGGGCCUCGUCCUAUGUCAUACCAGAUAAAGGGUCAGAAAGUUUUCAGAUUGGCGUUGAGUGUCCACGGUAGGUCAACCAGAAUGUAAAAGGUCCGCAAGCAACCUUGCAUAAUUAUAUGUUUCAUGCCAUGUUAGAUAUUUUGGCGGACGUUGCCAUCAACUAUAGAAAGAGAAACGUCCGAAUUGAAAUACACAAUCGACAGGUAGGAUCCCCUCCGCGCAAGUCAACGCCUGCCCAAAUCUAAAUACCGCGUUGAAUAGGGGCGAUCCGCGUUGGAGAUAACCGCGCCCUCUACGACGCCGAAAAGGGUCGUUUUCUUUGAACAGGGUUCCGGUUUUGCCCGGUAGAAGUCAACGGUGGGACGGCGGAACUGGUGAGAAGGAUAGCUGCGGAACCAGCCACACAAUUGGGUGUCUUCCGAUAGACCAUCCCCGGAAGUGUCCGAGGUAGGAGUUGUAGCUGCCGAAGAAAUCUGUCUGUUGAAGUGCACCGUGGAAAAACCCAAAAGGAAGAAGGGUAAAAAGACUCGGAGUGGGCGGGGGGGGAGGAGGAGAGCUUCUCCUGCAUCUUCAUUCAAUUAACGCGGAAAGACGGAGAGAAAUAAGAUCAGGGAAGACCUCUUGAAAAGGAGGCUCCCCCUCGACCCUCUAGAGGCCUCCUUCCCCCCUCCUCUCAACUACCAGAUAUCCGCUCUCCCAUCAUUCCUCUUCUCUCCUCCCCUUUCCCUCUUCUAUUCUGAUAGUUUAAGUAAGGAGAGUGAUGGGGGCGGAACAUUCCAAGGAGAAGUCGGUCUACGAAAGCGUCCGCAGAGGCGAUGUCGAGUCGAUCAGAUCUCUCCACAGACAGGGCGCUGGUCUGCAUGUAAUCAUCUUCUUUACCUCUUCUACUCCAUCUUCUUCAUCGGUUUGUGCUUUGGAGGAGUGAAAAGCGCAGUCUUUCUAUUUUCUUCGGUUUCUUCAAAACCAGUUGUGUGGACGCAGUGGAGAAGCUUCACAGGAAAGACGCCGCUGAUCCUCGCCUGCUCCGUAGCCCACCUUCUGCCCGUCGCCAAGGUCCUCAUCGACCUGGGCGCCAACGUGAACGAUUACGACCCAGGUGACUCUCUCUCUCUCUCUCCCCUCUCUCCCUCAUCCAUUUCUUCUAGAGCAUGACAUGCUAUUUACUUCGAUGGCAGAAUAUGGUGUUGGGACUGCUUUACACAGGGCUGCCAAGCGAGGCCUUGAGCAGACCGCCGUCCUACUCCUUUCGCAUGGAGGUAAUCUACUCUUGGUCAGUUUUAUCUCCAUUGAGUGGACUCGGGCGAAGAUUCACCGUAAUUCGCCGGAGUUUAAGAUCAGAAUCAAACGCUUGGAUAAGCUUCGUUUGAUCAUAGACCGCAAAAAAAUUCUCUCUUCCAAGUACACUCCGUGUUUUAGCUGGAAAUCAAUAAACCCAGGUCACAGAAGGCAUUUUGUUUCCAGAAUUCUUGGCCUUAUCUCUUGAUGGGUUCUUCGUGAUUGAUCCUCUUUCUCCAGCGAACCCCCUUCUGUGCAACUGCUUUCACCUUAAUUCGCUGGACUACGCUCGAGAAGCAGGUCAUACCGGCAUCGUCCGCGCCAUUGAGGUUGAGAGACACAACGCAAAUACACUGUUAUUUUUGUUGAGAAUAUUCCAAAUUGAUUAUGAAGAUGCCUCUACUCUAAUCAUAGUCAUAGUCAACUGUGUUUGAGUCGGGUGACCUAAUAGCUUAAUGAUGGCAUCAAAGUAAAGAUGGUUCUACCCUUAAACAUGUGACUAAGAAUAAUCCGCAAGCCUGGUGUCAUGAAAUCGUUCCUCAUUUGCUAAUUUCGGAUUUAUUUUCAGUUGAAUGACCCAAUAGCUUCAAAGGUCUUUGAAUGUAUUUGACUUCACUAACUAGUUGAACUGAAGACCUUGUCUGUGGUUCGUGUAUUCAGAGCCACAUCUGCUUCUUCUCCGGCUGGCUUAGGGGGACCUGGUAUUUCGACGACCCACGCCUUGUGUCAGCCUUCGCGCAAUCACCAAGAAGAACGUAGGAGUUCGCCAAUUUCUCGGGCAAAUAGUUUCAAACUGAAUUGUCUCACGUGAGUUCUUAUCCCUAAUAUUCUACCCUUUUGUUCUUGCCAGAUGGGCUGUCGUCCUGCCCAGCGACCCUGAUCUUCCGAUGAGCCUCACCGGGUUGAAACUCGUUCUGUAUCGCGAUCAGCAGGUGAAUUGCUUCUUAAGUAUCUCAAUGCCAUGACGAAAUGAAGAAAACAGGGCUAUUUUAGAAAACAAUAUGGGUAUAAUCGUUGAAUCAACGGCCAAGUAUGCGUUUCUAAACAAAUCUAAGCAAAUAAUACUGGACCCAUCUUGACGAUUUCCUCUGAAAGAAACUUGUUCCAUAUAACAAAGGUUGAAUAAUAUUCUUUUCGGCAAUUGGAGACAAUUUUAAAUUCUUCUUAUUUGAAUAAUAUUUUUUGAAAAUUAAAUACAAUUAUAGCUCCCAUUCGAUUGACCCACAUGAAGCUCGGGAUUGGGAUUUUAUAUGACGUCGCCAUCCUGGAAUGUAUUAUAUUAUAACUUAUUAUAUCCAUCUUAAUGGUGGCUUGACAAUCGCUACUUUGAUAGAAAGUUACGAUCCAUUUGAAAACAGGUUACAACUCAUUAAGGGAUUUUUUUUAGCAAUCUGAUGUUUUACGGUUGUAUUUUAUCACAAAUGGCAUGCACACAUUAACUAUAAAAAAUUAUAGCACUCGGUUGGCUAACCCCCUUGAAGCUGGCGAUUACAAUUUUAUUUAAUAGCCUUCAGCGUCCUAUCCCUAAAUAUUUAAACUGAAAAAUUUAUCCGACUGAUCAAUAGACACCUGGGACUCUAAGAUGAAGUUACAAUCUUUUCAAUAUGUUCUAUAAUGACCUGGUGGGAGUUAUCUUCCCCAUGCAGUGCCCUAAACCAGUCAAAGUCGUCUCCCUCAAGAAGUUUACCCUCCUGGAACCUGUUUUCAGUUCCCGAGAUCCCGAGCUGAUUCUCAGCGACAAGUCCUCAAGUGAGCACCAUCACCCACGGGCCCUCCUUUCACUAGUGUUCUUGAUUAUCUGAAUUCCUAAUUCUCUAACUUAUGUAUUCUUUCCCUAAUUAGCGUUGCAUCUGAAGCUUCUCUCCGGGGAAGAAGGGGACAAGGAACAGCUGAAGCUCCUCUAUCAUACUUGCAGAGGUGUACUAGAGGUAAUGUCCCACAGCCCAAUUUUGAGACAGAUGUGGAUAUUCUAAGUGCUUAUAUGAGGUUGUUCCCUCCUCGCAGCCUAACAAACUCUCCUUCGAAAGGACGGGGACGGCGACGGCUCCGCCGUGGCUGCCGGGCGCCGCUCCCGUCGUUCCGGUGGUGGCUCCCAGUGCUCCCUCGCCGUCCCAAGAGGAUGCAGAGAUCGCCAUGGCCAUCGCCGCCUCCCUUCAUUCCGCGAUCGAGGAGGGAAUAAUACCUCUGUCCGCCGUCAGCCUUGGCAGCCCGGAAGACAGGAAAGGCUGCGUAAACGUUCACUACCCGCCAGUGGACACUUCUCCGGUGAACGUGCUCCCAACGACCGUCGUUGAGGGCCAUAGGGCGGCAGCGGGAGAGGGGACGAGCGGGUCGGAUUCCUCCUGCGUGAUAUGCGCCGAUGCCCCAGUGGAGGCGGCGUGCGUCCCGUGCGGCCACAUGGCAGGCUGCAUGACCUGUCUGAACGAGGUCAAGAUGAAGGAAAUCGGCUGUCCUGUUUGCCGCGCCGACAUCGAACGCAUCAUGAAGAUCUACACUGUUUGAGUAAGCUGUGGAAGAUGCCGGCUGGGAAGUCAACGGCAGAUGUACAUGAAGCAGUCAGUCAGUCCAGCUCGCCAAUGAGGUGCAUGAGCUGGCUUUUUUAAUCGUUUUUUGUGUAAAUUUCUUAUUCUGUUCUUCAAGUUAUAUUGUAUGAAAUGGAAUUUCAAUAGGAACACAUUUAUAUCGCGUUUCCAUGAGG
rnacentral:lncRNA from 1 species